AACUAAAGAAACUUCAAUUAUACGGGGGGGAGGAGCCACUGGCCUGAAGGCGCUGUGAUUGGACGAUCCGGCGCUGAGUGACGUGCACGAGGAGACCAGAGGCAGGUUUUUUCUGCAUCCAACCCCCACAUGUGGCCUUGGAGACGCCUGCCAACAUCCCAGGGAAGCCCUUUCCCCCUUAAGCUCUCGCCUCCCACUUUCACAGUAGCUUGGAAAAACAAUUCUUACAUGGAAAACUAUUAAAACCAUCCCAAAUAAAUUCCUCAAGAUGGACUCCCAACUUCUGGCAGCAUUUCAUCGCCCAAGAGUGGGAGCGAGGACUCGCUCGCACACCAUCAUUAGGUCUGGCUGAAGUUGCAGUCUCGCCUGGGGGCCAGCUGUGCCAAUCGGCCUGACCCGUGUCUCUGCUGGAAUCCCAGGAAACACGCCCACAUUCACACGUCCCUUCAAAUCCCAGACGCAUCAAUUCUUCAAAAGUCCUCACUCCUCUCAGUGAGAGGAGGUACAGUUCAGCAAAAUGCAAAGGAAAACAGAGCUCCCCAGUGAUAAGAAUGAUGAACACCCAUUUCCCUGGUGGUCCCAGGCCCACAAUGGAACUUUGGGCGAGAUAUCCCCCGCUACUCUUAAAGCGUUUAAACACGGAUGUCUGUGUACCUUAAAAAAACGGCGUAAUGGCUUAAUUUGUGUGCUUAUUACAGCCAUGUGUGGUGGGAGGUUUUAUGGUGUGCAGUGAAGGAAACAGGGUGUCUGUGUGCGGUCCUGAUGUCUCCUGCAGCCUGUGGGACACGUAUCUCUUUGACGCCAAGCUCUCAUUGACUGGGAAAGGCUUGCACUGCAACUAAGACUGUAAAUUUGUCUGAAAAAAGCCCAAAUAAAUGAGCGUCCAUUCUGACAAGUCCAUCUAUUAAUAGACCUGCAUAUGCAGGGAAAGGCUGACAAGUCGUAUGUUAUGUGACAUUAAACUCUGUACGGUGAGUAUUUACACAGUAGUAAGUCAUUCGUCGGCCUCUUUUCCAAACUGAAAAGUUAUUUAUCUCAAUUUACGCCCAAAACUAUGAACCAGAAUCUAUUUCUUACUGAGAAUAUUUAAAUUAGCAUGCACUAAAACUGCAAUUUAGCUCUCUGCAACGCUUUAUGUCAACCUGAUGACUCAAUAUCCUCUUUAGAUAACAACCUAACUCAUGAUUGGAGGUGCUGGUAAGAAGGUGGGGGGCCUGGCUGCAGUCCCAGAGCUAAAAAAAGAAAAAGUAGGGGGUUUCUGUCACAUGAUCUCUCUAAAGCAUCUAAGGAAGAUAACAGAGCUGUGUUGGUUUUCAGCCUGCAUGCCGCAGACAAAGAAGGGUCGCUGCGAUCAAAGACGCCUGCAUCUUUGAUGCUCCAAGGUGCGGGUGGACUUGCACUUUGAUGCGAGGCCGCAGGGAUCAGUGGAGGCCACGCGCUUUUGUUGCAAGACCUGGUAAACAAAGGAGACAACAGAUUAUUCCAGAUUAAGGCUGUUUUGGGUUUUUGGAGGGGAUUUUUUUUUAAGAUGCUGUAGUUGUGUUAACAUGCUUUCAAUCAGUUCAACUCGUGCAGUCAUGAAUUAAUCCUCUUCUGCCAUCGGGACUCUGUAAACAGGCCUUUAGAUAGGCAGCAGCCUGCAUGAUAAACUGAACAAAAUGAGAAAACCGCAAAAAUAGUUUUUUUUUCUGCCGAAUUAAAAAUCCCAAAAUAAUCUGCUCGAGCAAAAAAACCAUCAAAUCUAAAUCAAUUGAAGUAAAUGUGGUGAAAAAGACUAUGAAGAGUAGAAACUGAGGGAAACAACAAUUAAUUUGCUGUUGGUUGAUGCCUCAAACAGGCAUCCUUUUAUGGAAAAUGGACCUGUUUUAUGAAAGCUUUAAACCCCUUUUAAAAGGGAACAUCUUUUUGGCUGAUAUUGAUUAAACUAUCCCCCAUAAUUUGAGUCUGGAUGUGGAAUCUAUAGGUUUCUAUUAAAACGCCAUCCCCACAGUGCUGCACAGUCAGAUUCUCCCUGCAGAAU